rnacentral:rRNA from 1 species
AGUCAGAGGCGAUGAAAGACGUGGUAGCCUGCGAUAAGCUUCGGGGAGUCGGCAAACAGACUUUGAUCCGGAGAUCUCUGAAUGGGGGAACCCACCCAGCAUAAGCUGGGUAUCUUGUACUGAAUACAUAGGUGCAAGAGGCGAACCAGGGGAACUGAAACAUCUAAGUACCCUGAGGAAAAGAAAUCAACCGAGAUUCCCUUAGUAGUGGCGAGCGAACGGGGACUAGCCCUUAAGUGGCUUUGAGAUUAGCGGAACGCUCUGGAAAGUGCGGCCAUAGUGGGUGAUAGCCCUGUACGCGAAAAUCUCUUAGUCAUGAAAUCGAGUAGGACGGAGCACGAGAAACUUUGUCUGAAUAUGGGGGGACCAUCCUCCAAGGCUAAAUACUACUGACUGACCGAUAGUGAACCAGUACCGUGAGGGAAAGGCGAAAAGAACCCCGGAGAGGGGAGUGAAAUAGAUCCUGAAACCGUAUGCGUACAAGCAGUGGGAGCCUACUUUGUUAGGUGACUGCGUACCUUUUGUAUAAUGGGUCAGCGACUUAUAUUCAGUGGCGAGCUUAACCGAAUAGGGGAGGCGUAGCGAAAGCGAGUGUUAAUAGCGCGUUUAGUCGCUGGGUAUAGACCCGAAACCGGGCGAUCUAUCCAUGGGCAGGUUGAAGGUUAGGUAACACUGACUGGAGGACCGAACCGACUACCUUUGAAAAGUUAGCGGAUGACCUGUGGAUCGGAGUGAAAGGCUAAUCAAGCUCGGAGAUAGCUGGUUCUCCUCGAAAGCUAUUUAGGUAGCGCCUCAUGUAUCACUGUAGGGGGUAGAGCACUGUUUCGGCUAGGGGGUCAUCCCGACUUACCAAACCGAUGCAAACUCCGAAUACCUACAAGUGCCGAGCAUGGGAGACACACGGCGGGUGCUAACGUCCGUCGUGAAAAGGGAAACAACCCAGACCGUCAGCUAAGGUCCCAAAGUUAUGGUUAAGUGGGAAACGAUGUGGGAAGGCUUAGACAGCUAGGAGGUUGGCUUAGAAGCAGCCACCCUUUAAAGAAAGCGUAAUAGCUCACUAGUCGAGUCGGCCUGCGCGGAA